rnacentral:rRNA from 1 species
UACGGAGGGUGCAAGCGUUGUUCGGAAUCACUGGGCGUAAAGGGCGUGUAGGCGGUCCGCUAAGUCUGAUGUGAAAGCCCGGGACUCACCCCCGGAAGGGCAUUGGAAACUGGCGGACUCGAGUCUCGGAGAGGAAGGUGGAAUUCCUGGUGUAGCGGUGAAAUGCGUAGAUAUCAGGAGGAAUACCGGUGGCGAAGGCGGCCUUCUGGACGAUGACUGACGCUGAGACGCGAAAGCGUGGGGAGCAAACAGG